rnacentral:tRNA from 1 species
CAGUGCGUGGCCGAAUGGUUACGCUGUCCGCUUUGUAAGCGGAUGAUUCUGGGUUCGAUUUUAGCGAGUUGU